CUCAGCUCCCAGCGGCGGCGGCGGCCAUGUUGGCCUUGGUCAUGUGACCCGCCGCCGUCGCGCGCCGGAGGUGAAAGUUCAAGAAGUGGGGGUUGGAGGGGUGGGUCUGCCGGACCAGGACCAGGAAACAGCUGCUCGCACUGGGGCAGCAACAGGCUGAGGCCGCCCAGGGGUUCCUCCCACCGCCCGCCAAAACCAACCCGCCCCGGUUUUAGCGGCUGCGAGGUCCUCCCACCCAACUCCACGCCCCUUCCUAGCGCGGGGCUUCUUCCGUCCCGGAGCCCCGCCCGGCUCCCGCCUCCCGCGCCGCUACCCCUUUGCUGGGGAGGUGGCGUAGGACUUCCUGAUCGCCGCGGGUCAUGCCACCGUAAGUCCCAACUGUUCAGCCCCCAGUCCCUAGCAUUUCAGCAGUCUGGACACUAGAGGAUUCCAGACAUUUCAGCUGUUUUCUGGACAACCCCUGGAGCUGCUACUGGUAACGCACACCCACGAGUUGGAACCCAGCAUCCCUCAAACAAGUGCUUUCCUCCAGGAUUCUCAGUUCCUAACGGGAUACCACCAUCCACUCUGGUGUGCCCACACCAGAAACUUGGAAGAGAAAUGGGCUCAGAGAUAAAGAAAACACAGUCUUGGCCUCAAGAAGAUCACAAACCAGCGAGAAAACUGGAAAAGAAGUUUCCAGAAUCUGGGAAGUCCGUCUCAGACUGGAAGGCCUCCAGAAAUCCUUAGUCCAGCUGCCCGUCUGAUGCAGGAAUGCCUUCUCCAACACUGCUGCCAGCAUCGCAGGUAGGCAGACCAGCCCAGCAGGGGCAGGCUGUCAGAACGCAUCUUCUCCUUGAGCAUUCUUCACUCCAGCCGGUGGCCCCCUACCCCUGAGCCCACCAAAGCUCUCCGCCACAGAAAACCGUGAUUGGUGCCUCUGUGAGCGUGGGACAGGAAGAGUUAACCUGCUGACAGACGGCAUUUUUUACCUUCAGUCAAUAUGAACAAGGCCCCAAGACUAUGAUUCCAAACAUCUGGAUUUCAUCAAUAUGUGAUCUGUCAUCGUAUAUUGGCAUUCCCCAGUCCCCGCGCCAGAGCAAUGCGGCUGGUUUUAUUAAUACGUCAAAUACAUUAUCCGUGUAAUACACUUGUCUGGCUGGGGCCUCCCGCUGGGGCGGGGCGGCAGAUUUGAAUGUAUGAUGAAUCAGUUUGCAUUACAUGUUCGUAAGUCAUCAUUUGUCAGGAUUAAUAGGCAUCCCUGGUCGAGGGGGUGGGGGUGGGGCGGGCAGAGGAGAGACGGGUGUUUAGCUAUGGCCCAUCCUUAUCUGCCAGUGCCCAGGGAUGCCCUGAAAACAGCUCUGCACUCUCCUGCCCAGACCCCAGGGCAGUGGCUAGUGGUCUGGUGAUAUUUUUUAGCAGUUCCAGAGUCACUUGGAAGCAAAGAGGCCUAUUUGUCUCUGCUUUGGGCUUGCCAUGCAACCAAAAAGGGUAUGGCAGGGACCGUUUGCACAGACUGGCUAACUCUUGCUCAUCCUUUAAGACUCUGAAUUCUUUCUUCCAGGGAGCCUUUCCUGACUCCUCCAGACUGCACUAGGUGCCUCCUCUGUGUUCCCAUAGUUUCCUGUGCUACCUCUGGUCACACAAUGUUACAGUUGCCUAUCAUGUAUCUGUCACUCUCUUUAGACUAAAUUUCUUGUGGGCAGGGAAUAACUUGUUUAUUGCUAUAGUCCCAGAAGAUCCCCUGGAGAAGGGAAUGGCAACCCACUUCAGUAUUCUUGCCUGGAGGGCUACAAAGAGUCGGACAUGACUGAGUGACUAACACUUUCGACUUUCAGUAUUUUGCAGAGGGCGUAACCCAAAGUAAGACGAUAUUAGUAGUUUAAGUAGAAACAAAUACAUAUUCCUUGAGUGAAUGAAUAAAUGUUGACCUUGCUAAAUCCCCAGAA